rnacentral:misc_RNA from 1 species
GAUGAAGAACGCAGCGAAAUGCGAUACGUAAUGUGAAUUGCAGAAUUCAGUGAAUCAUCGAGUCUUUGAACGCACAUUGCGCCCCCUGGUAUUCCGGGGGGCAUGCCUGUCCGAGCGUCAUUGCUGCCCUCAAGCACGGCUUGUGUGUUGGGCCUCCGCCCCCCGGCUCCCGGGGGGCGGGCCCGAAAGGCAGCGGCGGCACCGCGUCCGGUCCUCGAGCGUAUGGGGCUUCGUCACCCGCUCCGUAGGCCCGGCCGGCGCCCGCCGGCGACCCCCCUCAAUCUUUCCAGGUUGACCUCGGAUCAGGUAGGGAUACCCGCUGAACUUAAGCAUAUCAAUAACGGAGGA